GAACGCUGUAGCAAUACAGAGUGGCAGACGGGUGAGUAACGCGUGGGAACGUACCCUUCGGUCUGGAAUAACCCAGGGAAACUUGGGCUAAUACCGGAUACGUGCGAGAGCAGAAAGAUUUAUCGCCGAAGGAUCGGCCCGCGUCCGAUUAGCUAGUUGGUGAGGUAAAGGCUCACCAAGGCGACGAUCGGUAGCUGGUCUGAGAGGAUGAUCAGCCACACUGGGACUGAGACACGGCCCAGACUCCUACGGGAGGCAGCAGUGGGGAAUAUUGGACAAUGGGCGAAAGCCUGAUCCAGCCAUGCCGCGUGAGUGAUGAAGGCCCUAGGGUUGUAAAGCUCUUUCGCCAGGGACGAUAAUGACGGUACCUGGAUAAGAAGCC
rnacentral:rRNA from 1 species